AGAGCAUCGGGUGGAUGCCUUGGCGUCAGAAGGCGAUGAAAGACGUGGUAAGCUGCGAUAAGCCUCGGGGAGGAGCUAAACAUCCUUUGAGCCGGGGAUUUCUGAAUGGGGAAACCCAGCGGGAGUCAUGUCCCGUUAACAUUCACUGAAUUCAUAGGUGACUGUAGCUAACGCAGGGAAGUGAAACAUCUCAGUACCUGCAGGAAGAGAAAUCAAUCGAGAUUCCCCAAGUAGCGGCGAGCGAACGGGGAAGAGCCCAAACCGCGCGGAUUCGUCCGUACGGGGUUGCAGGGCCGGAAUGACCGAUUCACGCGUAACCAGAAGAAGUGAGCAGGAAAGCUCCGCCAGAGAGGGUGACAGUCCCGUAUUUGAAAGUGAGAGUGACGGUUCCGGUACCUGAGUACUGCGAGACACGUGAAAUCUCGUGGGAAUCCGGGAGGACCAUCUCCUAAGGCUAAAUACUAACUGACGACCGAUAGUGUACCAGUACCGUGAGGGAAAGGUGAAAAGAACCCCUGUCAGGGGAGUGAAAGAGAAUCUGAAACCUGGUGCUUACAAGCUGUGGGAGCCGUACUUGUACGGUGACCAUGUGCCUUUUGCAUAAUGAGUCAGCGAGUUAAUCUGUACAGCAAGGUUAAGCGUAAGUGAAGCCGCAGCGAAAGCGAGUCCGAACAGGGCCACAGUUGUGCGGAUUAGACCCGAAACCGGGUGAUCUAUCCAUGAGCAGGUUGAAGCAAGGGUAAAGCCUUGUGGAGGACCGAACCAGUUCUGGCUGAAAACAGUUUGGAUGACUUGUGGAUAGGGGUGAAAGGCCAAUCAAACCCGGUGAUAGCUGGUUCUCCCCGAAAUAUAUUGAGGUAUAGCCUUGCGGAUUGUCUUAUGGAGGUAAAGCUCUGACAGAACUAGGGGUCCUAUCCGACUACCGAAUUCUUUCAAACUCUGAAUACCAUUAAGAUUUACCGCAGGAGUCAGACGGCGGGUGCUAAGGUUCGUCGUCAAAAGGGCAACAGCCCAGACCGACAGCUAAGGCCUCCAAAUGCAUGCUCAGUGGUUAAGGUGGUGGCGUUGUGCAGACACCCAGGACGUUGGCUUAGAAGCAGCCAUCGUUUAAAGAAAGCGUAAUAGCUCACUGGUUCAAUGGCGCUGCGCCGAAAAUGUAACGGGGCUAAGCAUGCUGCCGAAGCUUCGGAUUUGUCUCUGACAACUGGUAGGGGAGCGUUCUCUGCGGGCUGAAGCGGAACCGAAAGGUUUCGUGGACUGCAGAGAAGUGAUUAUGCUGACAUGAGUAACGAUAAAAUAUGUGAAAAACAUAUUCGCCGUAAAUCCAAGGUUUCCUGGGUAAAGGUAAUCUUCCCAGGGUUAGUCGGACCCUAAGGCCAGGCUGAAAGGCGUAGCUGAUGGGAAACGGGUUAAUAAUCCUGUACUUGUGCGAUUGUGCGAAGAAGGGACGCAGGAUGGUAGACAGGCCGGUUUUUGGAAUCCGGUGCAAGUGCGUAGGCGUGCUCCGCAGGCAAAUCCGCGGAGAUGAGCCGAGACACGAGUCCGUGGGCGUAAGCCCUGAAGCUGUUGAGCCACGGCUGCCAAGAAAAGCUUCUAAGUUUAGAUCGCGCGAACCGUACCGCAAACCAACUCAGGUGGAUGGGAUGAAUAAUCCAAGGCGCUCGAGAGAACUCUGGCCAAGGAACUCGGCAAAUUGACCCCGUACCUUCGGAAUAAGGGGUGCUCCCCACGGUGAGACAAAUUCUUGUUCAGCCCCGGGGAGCCGCAGAGAAAUGGUGGUGGCGACUGUUUACUAAAAACAUAGGUCUGUGCGAAGUCCUACAGACGACGUAUACGGACUGACGCCUGCCCGGUGCCGGAAGGUUAAAAGGAGGAGUCAGCGCAAGCGAAGCUCCGAUUUGAAGCCCCGGUAAACGGCGGCCGUAACUAUAACGGUCCUAAGGUAGCGAAAUUCCUUGUCGGGCAAGUUCCGACCUGCACGAAUGGCGUAACGAUCUCCACGCUGUCUCGGCCAGAGACUCGGUGAAAUUGAAGUCGCGGUGAAAAUGCCGUGUACCCGCAGAAAGACGGAAAGACCCUGUGCACCUUUA
rnacentral:rRNA from 1 species